GGCUGGUCCGAAGGUAGUGAGUUAUCUCAAUCAAUGUUCAUAUUCAGUUACAGACAGAACUCCUUGUUCUGUUCUUUUCCCCUUUCUCACUCCUGCACUUCACUCAAAA
rnacentral:Y_RNA from 1 species